GUGAAAGUCCGCUGUUUAGGUAAAUUUGCUUUCUCUUCAAAGGGCAUAUGAUAACAAUUGAAUGUACUUAUGUCUUGACUAUUUCAUCUCCACUAUGCUCUUAUAUCUCGCUUGACUGCUGGUUUAUAUUAUUACCAACGAGGUUCUGCAUCAAAUUAUGUACCUUUUGGUCCUGCACACAAAAUGAACUUGGUAAAGUAUUUGACAUUGCUCUGAGCAAGUCUUGACUUAUAUCUUUUGAAAAUUGCUGAUUUUAUUUUCAAAGGAAGGUCCUUCCUUGAAUGUGGAAUAAUGUCCCUUCCUGCUUUAUGCUCGUAAUGUUUUGGGGCUCCCCAACAAUUAUAUAACUGCUAAUCCGAUGCCACCCCACCUCAUAUUGUGUCAGAAUGGUAUUUCCUACCGAUCCAUGCCAUUCUUUGUAGUAUAACUGAUGGCAGUGGGAUGUUCUAAACCCCUUUGAUGGAUCCCAUCCUUGGGCUCAAUUUGAGGUUGCUCUAGAGCUACACAGAAGCCAAAAGGGAAGGACUGCUUACGCUAUGUGUGGUAGUGGAUAGAGGGCAAUUCUUCUAUUGUAUUGAUUCAGUGGGUCCUAAUCUCAAAAUUUGUGCAUCUCUGGUUCUUUCUCUGUUUUUCCUUUUUUGGAAAGAAAGAAAAAUAUUUCUUUUACCUUCUCUUUUGAGAAAAUAGGAGGAUUUCUCUUAGCUUCUUUUUACCUUUAGGUUGUUCACAUAGUACACUGAGGAAAAACAAAUUAAUUCCUGGUUCUUCUUCAAAAUUUUCCUUUUUUUAAAAUUUUUUUUUUUAC
rnacentral:misc_RNA from 1 species